AUUGAACGCUGGCGGCAGGCCUAACACAUGCAAGUCGAACGAGUGGCGGACGGGUGAGUAAUGUCUGGGAAACUGCCUGAUGGAGGGGGAUAACUACUGGAAACGGUAGCUAAUACCGCAUACCAUCGGAUGUGCCCAGGUGGGAUUAGCUAGUAGGUGGGGUAAAGGCUCACCUAGGCGACGCUCCCUAGCUGGUCUGCGGGGAUGACGAGCCACACUGGAACGGAGACCGGGCCCAGAUCCUUCCGGGGGGCAGCAGUGGGAAAUAUUGCAAAAUGGGGGCAAGCCUGAUGCAGCCAUGCCGCGUGUAUGAAGAAGGCCUUCGGGUUGUAAAGUACUUUCAGCGGGGAGGCGUUACCCGCAGAAGAAGCACCGGCUACCUCCGUGCCAGCAGCCGCGGUAAUU
rnacentral:rRNA from 1 species